rnacentral:rRNA from 1 species
UGGGGAAUAUUGGACAAUGGGCGCAAGCCUGAUCCAGCCAUGCCGCGUGAGUGAUGAAGGCCCUAGGGUUGUAAAGCUCUUUUGUGCGGGAAGAUAAUGACGGUACCGCAAGAAGAAGCCCCGACUAACUUCGUGCCAGCAGCCGCGGUAAUACGAGGGGGGCAAGCGUUGUUCGGAUUUAUUGGGCGUAAAGGGUGCGUAGGCGGUUUGGCAAGUCUUGUGUGAAAUCUUCGGGCUCAACCCGAAGCCUGCAUAAGAAACUGCCGGGCUUGAGUAUGGGAGAGGUGAGUGGAAUUUCCGGUGUAGCGGUGAAAUGCGUAGAUAUCGGAGGGAACACCUGUGGCGAAAGCGGCUCACUGGACCAUAACUGACGCUGAGGCACGAAAGCUAGGGGAGCAAACAGGAUUAGAUACCCUGGUAGUCCUAGCCCUAAACGAUGAUUGUUUGAUGUGGCAGGUACCCAAUCCUGCCGUGUCGAAGCUAACGCGAUAAACAAUCCGCCUGGGGAGUACGGUCGCAAGGCUG